rnacentral:lncRNA from 9 species
AUGCCACGAUCAGAUAAGAGUCUAGGCGGGCCAACUCCAGCAACUUCCCAGCCCUGCAGGUUCGGUUUUCCAGUUAAACAUCUGGGAAUUGGCAGUGCAAAUCUUGUAGGAACAGCCCUGGGCCUGUUUCGUCCCACUGCCCCUACUUCUUGGUCCUCUCUCUUGUUUCUGUUAAGGGCACUGGAGGUAAAGCAUAGAUGGUUUCUUCAGGAUAAACGAGAAAAGAAAUAUCCACUCCUUAAAGAAAACCGCUGGUGGAAAGGCCCUGUGUUCACAAGGACUGGUCCACUAGGAGGCAGCAGCACACAGGCGACAGGACGCACAGCCAGGAUCAGGCCAGUGCUCUUCUUCCCUGUUUGGGUUGGGAGUGGCUGCGUCAGACGAGCAAGCAAGUCCAUGGAUGGUGUGAACUGGCCUGGCCUUAGAGCAUUGGUGCAAGUCCUCUGCGCAUUUCUGAGAAGACCCCUCAAUUCCUGGAACUUUUAGCAUAGCAACCUAUGAAUAAAAGCUGCUUCACGCCUGCAUCCUGAGCCAGUCUCCACUGAGGAGGGAAU